GAUGAAGAACGUAGCGAAAUGCGAUACGUAAUGUGAAUUGCAGAAUUCAGUGAAUCAUCGAAUCUUUGAACGCGUAUUGCGCUCUUUGGUAUUCCGAAGAGCAUGCUUGUUUGAGUAUCAGUAAACACCUCAAAGCUUUUGGAUUUUUUAAUCGAAAAGCUUUGGACUUGAGCAAUCCCAACACCAAUCUUUUUGAGAUCGGUGGCGGGUUGCUUGAAAUGCAGGUGCAGCUGGACAUUCUCCUGAGCUAAAAGCAUAUUCAUUUAGUCCCGUCAAACGGAUUAUUACUUUUGCUGCAGCUAACAUAAAGGGAGUUUGACCGUAUUGGCUGACUGAUGCAGGAUUUCACAAGGGUCGGCAACGAUUCUUGUUAAACUCGAUCUCAAAUCAAGUAAGACUACCCGCUGAACUUAAGCAUAUCAAUAAGCGGAGGA
rnacentral:misc_RNA from 1 species